rnacentral:rRNA from 1 species
ACCAUCUCAGUUCGGAUUGCAGGCUGCAACUCGCCUGCAUGAAGCUGGAAUUGCUAGUAAUCGCGGAUCAGCAAGCCGCGGUGAAUACGUUCCCGGGCCUUGUACACACCGCCCGUCACACCAUGAGUAGUCGGGAACACCCGAAGUCCGUAGUCUAACCGCAAGGGGGGCGCGGCCGAAGGUGGGUCCGGUAAUUGGGGGUGAAGUCGUAACAAGGUAAC